rnacentral:rRNA from 1 species
UCAUUAAGCGGAGGAAAAGAAAUUAACAAAGAUUACCUUAGUAAUGGCGAAUGAACCGGUAACAGCUCGAAAUUAAAAUCUACUGUUCAAAGAACAGUCGAAUUGUAAUCUGGAUUGCUUAAAUACAUCUGUUUUCUUAAGUCAAUAGAAAGUGACCUCAUAGAGGGUGAUAAGCCCGUAAGGAGAGCAGAUGCUUAAAGUAAUUCUAAAAAGAGUCGGGUAGUUUGGAACUGCUGCCCUAAAGGGAGAUAUGAAUCUUCCAAAGCUAAAUAUGGAUGGGAGACCGAUAGCGCACAAGUACUGUGAAGGAAAGAUGAAAAGGACUUUGAAAAGAGAGUGAAAAGACCUGAAAUCGUUGAGAAGGAAGCGGUAUAAACUGAAGUGCUACAGAGGAAAUACGGAAGCAAUUUCGUAAAUCUUUUUACAGCUGGGUAAAAUGAAGUUUGUCGAGAAAAGAAAGGUGCAAGCCGUUUAAUUCACGAUAAGCUUGAGGGGCUACGGCGAUUUUACCAAAAUGGUUUAUACUGUCCCGUCUUGAAACACGGACCAAGGAGUCUAUCUAAUAUGCGAGUGUGCGAGUGAAAAACUCAUACGCGUAAUGAAAGUAAAAGGUACGAAGAUUCUGCAGUAUCGACCGACCCAGUAAAAAGGGUUUGAGUAAGAGCAUAUUUGAUAGGACCCGAAAGAUGGUGAACUAUGCCUGAAUAGGGUGAAGUCAGGGGAAACCCUGAUGGAGGCUCGUAGCGAUUCUGACGUGCAAAUCGAUCGUCAAAUUUGGGUAUAGGGGCGAAAGACUAAUCGAACCAUCUAGUAGCUGGUUCCCUCCGAAGUUUCUCUCAGGAUAGCAGGAAAAAUUAUGCAGUUUUAUCAGGUAAAGCGAAUGAUUAGAGGUUCCGGGGCGCUUUUAGCCUUGACCUAUUCUCAAACUUUAAAUUGGUAAGAACUCCUUGUUAAUCUUAAUUGAACAUGGAGAUCGAAUGUAUUUUCCUAGUGGGCCGUUUUUGGUAAGCAGAACUGGCGAUGAGGGAUGAACCUAACGUCGAGCUAAGGUGCCUAACUAUACGCUCAUGAGAUACCACAAAAGGUGUUGAUUCAUCUGAACAGCAGGACGGUGGACAUGAAGGUCGUCACCCGCUAAGGAAUGUAUUUAACUCACCUGCCGAAUGAAUUAGCCCUGAAAAUGGAUGGCGCUAAAGCGUAUGACCGAUACUCGACCAUUGAAGCAAAAGUAAGUUUCAAUGUGUAGGAGGGCGUGAAUGUUGUUAGAAGCUUUUGGCGUGAGCCUGAGUGGAACGACAUUUAGUGCAGAUCUUGGUGGUAGUAGCAAAUAGCCAAUUGGAAACGUUGGCGGCCGACGUGGAGAAGGGUUCCCUGUUAACAGCAAUUGAACAGGGGUUACUCGGUCCUAAGUUCCUGGUUAAAACCGUAUAAGGCGCUCUAUAGCGCGGAACGAAAGGGAAUCAGGUUGAUAUUCCUGAAGCAUCAAUAGAUUCGUGGUAACACAAACUAGCUUGAAGACGCCAGUCCGUGCUCCUGGAAGAGUUUUCUUUUCUUCUUAACACAUAAUCAACCUUGAAAUUGGAUUAUCCAGAGAUAAGGCUGUAAGUGUGGCAGAGCAUCCUGCUUUUAUGGGAUGUCAGGUGCGCUCGGAAUGGACCUUGAAAAUUCAAGUCAGAUCAAUCUACUGGUGUCCGUACCCAUAACCGC